rnacentral:rRNA from 1 species
UACGUAGGGUGCAAGCGUUAAUCGGAACUACUGGGCGUAAAGCGUGCGCAGGCGGUGAUGCAAGACAGAUGUGAAAUCCCCGGGCUUAACCUGGGAACUGCAUUUGUGACUGCAUUGCUGGAGUGCGGCAGAGGGGGAUGGAAUUCCGCGUGUAGCAGUGAAAUGCGUAGAUAUGCGGAGGAACACCGAUGGCGAAGGCAAUCCCCUGGGCCUGCACUGACGCUCAUGCACGAAAGCGUGGGGAGCAAACAGG